GAGCAACAAAACAAGGCAAAUUGGAAGGGGAAAAAAUUGAGAAUAUUAUACAAGAAGAGUUCGCUAUCCACUUCUACCUCCUAUUGGGUGAUGAGAGGUGUCUGAAAGUUUGCACUCUGGGGGACCCCUCCCCCCAAUGCUGGGCUGAACAGAAGACAGCUCCCAUCUUCGAGGUGUGGAGAGCACAGACUACCUCUAGUCAUUUUCAGGGAAGCCAGUGCGCUCGAGGAGUGUUCUCCCUCUGUGGAUCUCGCAAUUAAUCGCUGCCUGCCUGUCUGUAACAAAAGAGGAGAAGAUCCAAUCAGCGUUUUGGUUUAAUAAGGUGGAAUACCAAGGGACGCAACAGAAAAGAUACAGCACAACCAGGGAAAUAAAGGAAGUAGGAGCACACAGCAGUGAAAGACAUCAUUUAGAGAGAAAAAAAAAAACGCUUAACGGUAUUUUGAAUUCAAAGGCUCCUGUUCCAGGUGAACUUGAGAAGCAUCCUUUUCUUUUUUGGAGCUCUCAGCUUCAGUCAGCUAAUCUUGUGGACUAUUGGAUCCUGGAUGGCAUUUCAAGACUGACUGUUCCAUGGCCCCUCAUCUUCUGUCUUCUUAGCCGGAAAAGAACCAUGUAGUCUGAACAUCUUCUGAUAUGACAUCGGAAUCUUGAAAUAAGUGACCUGUGUAUUCCACUGGGGACUUUUAACUACUCUUUAGUCACACUCCAUGGACAUCUACUAUCAGAGGCCCUGC